rnacentral:rRNA from 1 species
CUACGGGUCGCUCCAGCUGAGGAAAUUUUACAAUGCUCGAAAGAGUGAUAGAAUAAACCAGAGUGUUGUUCUUAGAACAACUUAUAUCUGAUGUAAAAGUCAGAUGAAUAAGGACUGGGUAAGACCGGUGCCAGCCGCCGCGGUAAUACCGGCGGUCCAAGUCGCAUCCAUUUUUAUUGGGUCUAAAACAUUCGUAGCUUGUUUUGUAAGUCUCUUGUGAAAUCUGAUACCUCAAAUAUCAGUCGUGCAAGAGAUACUGCAUUGCUAGAGACCGGAAGGCGUAAGAAGUAUGAUUAAGGUAGCGGUAAAAUGUGUUAAUCUUAAUCAGACUAACAAUGGCGAAGGCAUCUUACGAGUACGGAUCCGACAGUGAGGGAUGAAGGCCAGGGGCGCAAAACGGAUUAGAUACCCCCGUAGUC